GGGCACUGCAGCCAGUGUUAAAGGUUUUCCUAAAGCAAUUACAUUCAGGCCUGCAUCAGAAGAAUGAGAAGAACGCUGCCUGCAGCCGUCCCUGGGAGGAGCCUCCCAGGAGCCGAGGGUCUGGGUGUUGAAGAGCUCACCCUCACUUUGGCCAUAACUGAGGCCUUAGGGGCGCAGAGGCUCCGGGACGCUGGCAGGCUGCUGGGAGCGCCCUCCACCCUGCUGUUUCUGUCCACCCCUCCUGCACUUUUCAUGUGGGUGGGCGGCCUGCGCUUGGGUCAGUCACUAACUGUUGGGAGCCUGACCUCAGGUCACGGGAGCUGCCUGGCCCACAUGGGUAGAGAGCGGAAAGUAUCUAAGAGCCCAAUUUCCCCAGUUUCCAC
rnacentral:lncRNA from 1 species